UGGGUGAUCUGCCCUGCACUUCGGGAUAAGCCUGGGAAACUGGGUCUAAUACCGGAUAUGACCUUGGGAUGCAUGUCCUGUGGUGGAAAGCUUUUGCGGUGUGGGAUGGGCCCGCGGCCUAUCAGCUUGUUGGGGGGUUAAGGCCUACCAAGGCGACGACGGGUAGCCGGCCUGAGAGGGCGAUCGGCCACACUGGGACUGAGACACGGCCCAGACUCCUACGGGAGGCA
rnacentral:rRNA from 1 species